GGGGCUGUGGCUCAGUGGUAGAGUGUGUGCCUUGUGUGCAGAAGGUCCCAGGUUCAAUCCCCAGCAUCUCCA